CCCUGCUGCGCCCCUCCCUCCUCUGAGAGGAUCAGGACUGUGAAUGGGUGUAGUGCCUCUGAUAAUUCCUCCACGGGGCAGGAGGAGCAGCAGGUGCCCCGGUCAGUGUCCCGUCACUUCAGGCAACAUAAGAAAGAUUCACCUUCGUCUCCGGCUCUCCUGCACACACAGCUCUCUCUCUCCGUCUCUCUCUCUCUACACUCACCUGUGAGGAUGUCUACCUGUUCUUAGCUCACCUGAAUGGAGCAGCCUCUACCUGAAGUGCGGGAAGGUCCUCACGUUCUGCUGUCUGAUGUUCAGGAUUAAUCAGAAGCUCUGCAGUCAUGGUCAUUCUGCAGCAGGGGGACUAUGUGUGGUUGGACCUGAAGACUGGCCGAGAGUUCGACGUGCCUGUAGGAGCCGUGGUGAAGCUGUGUGACUCGGGUCAGAUCCAGGUUCUGGAUGAUGAAGGAAACGAACACUGGAUCUCCCCCCAGAAUGCCACCAAUAUUAAGCCCAUGCACCCCACCUCCAUCCACGGGGUGGAGGACAUGAUUCGGCUGGGGGAUCUGAACGAGGCGGGGAUUCUCCGUAACCUGCUGAUCCGCUAUAGAGAACACCUCAUAUAUACGUACACAGGGUCAAUCCUGGUGGCGGUAAACCCGUACCAGCUGCUGCCCAUCUACACAGCAGACCAGAUCCGCCUGUACACCAACAAGAAGAUCGGAGAGAUGCCCCCUCACAUCUUCGCCAUCGCCGACAACUGCUACUUCAACAUGCAGAGGAACAACAAGGACCAGUGCUGCAUCAUCAGUGGUGAGUCCGGAGCGGGGAAGACUGAGAGCACCAAGCUGAUCCUGCAGUUUCUGGCGGCCAUCAGCGGUCAGCACUCCUGGAUUGAGCAGCAAGUGCUGGAGGCCAAUCCCAUACUGGAGGCCUUCGGGAAUGCCAAGACCAUCCGGAAUGACAACUCCAGCCGAUUUGGGAAAUACAUAGACAUCCACUUCAACAAGAGAGGGGCAAUAGAGGGAGCAAAAAUCGAGCAGUACCUGCUGGAGAAGUCCAGAGUGUGUCGACAGGCCAGAGAUGAGAGGAAUUAUCAUAUCUUCUACUGCAUGCUGAAGGGGAUGACUUCAGAUCAGAAGAAGAAACUUGGCCUGGGAAAAGCCACAGACUACACCUACCUCACUAUUGGAAACUGCACGGUGUGUGAUGGUCGGGAUGAUCAGAAGGAAUACUCCAACAUUCGCUCAGCCAUGAAGGUGCUCAUGUUCACGGAUACGGAGAACUGGGAGAUCUCCAAACUGCUGGCCUCCAUCCUGCACAUGGGAAAUCUCCACUAUGAAGCUCGGACGUAUGAUAACCUGGAUGCCUGUGAGGUGGUGCGCUGUGCUGAUCUGACCACCGCUUCAAAACUGCUGGAGGUUGAUUCUAAAGACUUGAUGAACUGCCUGACCAGCCGCACUCUGAUCACUCGAGGGGAGACGGUGUCCACUCCGCUCAGUAUGGAGCAGGCCCUGGAUGUGCGAGAUGCCUUCGUAAAGGGAAUAUAUGGGCGCUUGUUUGUCUGGAUUGUUGAGAAGAUUAAUGCAGCAAUCUUCAAGCCUACAUCCCAUGAUCUUAAAGCUGUACGCAGAUCCAUCGGCCUCCUGGACAUCUUCGGCUUUGAGAACUUUACUGUCAACAGUUUUGAGCAGCUGUGUAUCAACUUUGCCAACGAGAACCUGCAGCAGUUCUUCGUCCGCCACGUCUUUAAGCUGGAGCAGGAGGAGUAUAACCUGGAGAACAUCAACUGGCAGCACAUCGAGUUCACCGACAACCAGGACGCCCUGGACAUGAUCGCCAUCAAACCCAUGAACAUCAUCUCCCUCAUCGACGAGGAGAGCAAGUUCCCCAAGGGAACAGACACCACCAUGCUGAACAAGCUCAACUCCCAACACAAGCUCAACACCAACUACAUCCCUCCCAAAAACAACUACGAGACUCAGUUUGGGAUCCAGCACUUUGCAGGAAUCGUUUAUUACGAGACGAGAGGUUUUCUGGAGAAGAACAGAGACACUCUUCACGGUGAUAUCAUCCAGCUGGUUCACUCUUCAAAGAACAAGUUCAUCAAGCAGAUCUUCCAGGCGGAUGUGGCCAUGGUAAUGCUUCCUGAUCUGAGAAUUUAUAUAUUUUAUUUGUUUAAAGUGAGCCGAAAGAACCUGUUGUUUGACAGGGAGCUGUGUGUCCGGCAGCUCCGCUACUCUGGAAUGAUGGAGACGAUCCGGAUCCGCCGGGCUGGAUACCCCAUUCGCUACACCUUUGUGGAGUUUGUGGAUCGUUAUCGUGUCCUUAUGCCUGGAGUAAAGCCUGCAUACAAACAGGAGGAUCUGAGAGGAACCUGUCAGCGGAUUGCAGAGGCCGUCCUUGGCCGAGACGAUGACUGGCAGAUGGGAAAGACCAAAAUAUUUCUGAAGGAUCAUCACGACAUGCUGCUGGAGAUCGAGAGAGACAAGGCCAUCACUGACAAGGUCAUCCUCAUCCAGAAGGUGGUCAGAGGAUUUAAAGACAGAUCUAACUUCCUUAAGAUGAAGAGAGCAGCGCUUAUCAUCCAGAAGACUUGGAGAGGAUACCACUGCCGGAAAAACUAUGAUGCGGUGAGUUACUGGAUUUAUGUUUUAAUAAGCACACAGGCACAUUUUUAUAUUAUAUAUAUUAUGUGUGUAAAUGAUUUUUUAACUUUCUGCUCUUCCUCUCAGUACCGGAGGCGUCUGGAGGCGGAGAAGAUGCGUCUGGCUGAGGAGGAGAAGCUGAGGAACCAGAUGAGCGCCAAGCGAGCCAAAGCCGAGGCUGAGCGUAAGCAUCAGGAGCGCCUGGCCCAGCUGGCUAAAGAGGACGCAGAGCGGGAGAAGAAGGAGAAGGAGGAGGCUCGCAAGAAGAAGGAGAUGCUGGAUCAGAUGGAGAAAGCUCGUCAGGAGCCCGUUAACGACUCGGAUAUGGUGGAUAAAAUGUUUGGAUUCCUGGGGACCACCAACUCCUUUCCGGGUCAGGAGGGCCAGGCGCCGGCCGGGUUCGAGGACCUGGAGCGGACUAAGAGGGAGCUGGAGGAAGAAGAUCUGGAUGAAGCUCUUCCUCUGCCUGAGGAAGAUGAGGAAGACCUUUCUGAAUAUAAAUUUGCCAAGUUUGCAGCCACGUACUUCCAGGGCACAAGCACUCACACGUACAUGCGCCGUCCACUCAAACAGCCGCUGCUGUUCCACGAGGACGAGGGGGAUCAGCUGGCAGCGCUGGCGGUGUGGAUCACAGUCCUUCGUUUUAUGGGAGACCUUCCAGAACCCAAAUACCACACAGCCAUCAGCGACGGCAGCGAGAAAAUCCCUGUGAUGACGAAGAUUUACGAGACGCUGGGCAAGAAAACCUACAAGCGAGAGCUGCAGGCGCUGCAGGGGGAGGGAGAGAACGCUCACAUUGACAGUCAUAAGAAGAACAGUGUGCGUCACAAGCUAGUGUCCCUCACCCUUAAGAAGAAGUCAAAGAUUACUGAGGAGGUGAGUGACAGUGUUAUAAUGCAUGAUAACUUGUCUGGUUUGCCUUCCUGGAACAGGAAAGAUGAGAUCUACUGUCAGAUCUGUAAGCAGCUGACUCAGAACCCGUCUAAAAGCAGCCACGCCCGAGGCUGGAUCCUCAUGUCCCUGUGUGUGGGCUGCUUCGCCCCGUCUGAGAAGUUUGUGAAGUAUCUGAGGAACUUCAUCAGUGAAGGUCCUCCAGGCUACGCUCCUUACUGUGAGGAAAGGCUCAGGAGGACGUUUGUGAACGGCACCAGAACCCAGCCCCCCUCCUGGCUCGAGCUGCAGGUACAACCUGAAGAAGUUGAUUGUUUGAAUAACAUAGCUUUGCUUGCAGUUCAGCUUGGUGUGAUGGUUUGUGUUCAGGUGUCUUCUCUGGGCAGUGGAAGUGAUCAUGUGAUGGACGCCGUGUCUCAGUGUGAGCAGUAUGCUAAAGAGCAGGGGGCUCAGGAGCGUAACGCCCCCUGGAGGCUGUUCUUCAGGAAGGAGAUCUUCACGCCCUGGCACGACCCCACUGAGGACGGGGUGGCCACCAACCUCAUCUACCAGCAGAUCGUCCGCGGGGUGAAGUUCGGGGAGUACCGCUGUGACCGGGAUGAUCUAUCAGAGCUGGCGUCUCAGCAGUAUUAUGUGGACUAUGGAUCGGAGAUCCUGGUGGAACGUCUCCUCAGCCUCAUUCCUUCAUACAUCCCUGACCGAGAAAUCAGCUCCGCCAAGACGGUGGAGAAAUGGGCCCACUUCAUCAUGGCUGCCCAUAAAAAGGGUGUUUACACACAGAAGCGAGUGGACCCUCAGAAGGUGAAAGAAGAAGUGGUGGAAUUCGCUCGAUACAAGUGGCCUUUGUUGUUCUCUAGGUUCUAUGAAGCCUUUAAAUUUUCAGGACCCAGCUUGCCUAAGAAUGAUGUGAUUGUAGCUGUGAACUGGACUGGAGUCUAUUUUGUUGAUGAACAAGAGCAGGUUCUUCUGGAACUCUCUUUCCCAGAGAUCACUGCGGUUUCCAGCAGCAGGUAUGAAAAGAACACAGGGCUUUACUGCUCCUUAAUACCUUGCUGCAGAGGAGGCAAGCUCCAGGGGCAGAGCUUCACCCUGGCCACUGUUAAAGCAGAUGAGUACACCUUCACCUCCAACAACGCAGAGGACAUCCGAGACCUGGUCGUCACGUUCCUGGAGGGCCUAAGGAAGAGAUCCAAGUUUGUGGUGGCGCUGCAGGACAACCCCAGUCCAGUUGGUGAUGACUCUACGUUCUUGAGCUUCAUUAAGGGAGAUCUCAUCCUGCUGGAUCAGGACACAGGUGAGCAGGUCCUGAACUCAGGCUGGGCUCAUGGGAUCAAUGAGAGGACCAAACAGAGAGGAGACUUUCCAGCUGACUGUGUCUACGUCCUGCCUACCGUCACCAGACCUCAGCCUGAUGUUGUGGCUCUGGUUACUAUGACGCCAGACCAGCGUCAGGAGUCCAUUCGCGUGGCGCAUGUGCCCCUGCCCGAGAGCGUGGAGCGGGUGAAGCCGUACACACUGGAGGAGUUCUCCUACGACUACUUCAGACCGCCUCCUAAACACACCCUGAGCCGCGUAAUGAUCACGAAGAACCGGGGGAAGGAUAAGCUGUGGUGCUGCACGCGGGAGCCCAUUAAACAAGCUCUGCUGAAGAAGGUUCUGGCCCAUGAGGAGCUGUCCCAGGAAGCCUGCAUGGCAUUCAUUGAUAUCCUUUUGCAUUACUAUAUGGGCGACUAUCCAUCCAAACGAACGCGUUCUGUAAAUGAACUGACGGAUCAGAUCUUUGAGGGAGCUCUGAAGGCCGAGCCGCUGAAAGACGAGAUUUACUCCCAGAUUCUCAAACAGCUCACAGAGAAUCACGUCAAGUACAGUGAAGAGAAGGGCUGGGAGCUGCUCUGGUUGUGUACUGGACUCUUUCCACCCAGUAAUGUCCUCCUACCCCACGUCCAGAGAUUCCUGCAGUCCAAGAAACACCAUCCACUCGCACUGGACUGCCUUCAGAGACUACAGAAAGCCCUGCGGAACGGCUCCAGGAAGUAUCCCCCCCACCUGGUGGAAGUGGAAGCGAUCCAACACAAGACGACUCAAAUCUUUCACAAAGUGUACUUCCCCGACGACACAGACGAGGCUUUCGAGGUGGAGUCCAGUACCAAGGCUAAGGACUUUUGUCUGAACAUCUCCGGCCGCCUGCUGCUGAAAUCUCCUGAUGGUUUCAGCCUGUUUGUAAAGAUUUCCGAUAAGGUGAUCAGCGUUCCAGAAGGUGAUUUCUUCUUCGACUUUGUCAGACAUCUCACCGACUGGAUCAAGAAAGCCAGACCUGCUAAAGAUGGAAUUGUGCCUUCAUUGACCUAUCAGGUGUUCUUUAUGAAGAAGUUGUGGACGAACACGGUCCCAGGAAAAGAUUCUUUUGCUGACUCAAUCUUCCAUUAUUACCAGGAGCUUCCUAAGUAUCUUCGGGGCUACCACAAGUGCUCCAGAGACGAGGUCUUCCAGCUGGCAGCUCUGAUUUACAGAGUCAAAUUUGAAGAUGACAAAUCCUACUUUCCCAGCAUCCCGAAAAUGCUGAAAGAGCUGAUUCCUCAGGAUCUGAUCCGCCAGCUCUCGCCUGACGACUGGAAACGGUCGGUUGUGGCGUACUUCAACAAACAUGCCGGGAAGUCGAGGGAGGAGGCCAAGCUGCUGUUUCUGAAGAUCAUCUUUAAGUGGCCAACGUUUGGCUCUGCCUUCUUUGAAGUGAAGGUAACUUUCACUUACUACUUUAUUUCUUUAAAUGACAUUUUAACGACUCAUCCCUUCACAAAAAUCUCCAACUGGAGCAGUGGAAACACCUACUUCCACAUCACCAUCGGAAACCUGGUGCGAGGGAGCAAGCUACUGUGUGAGACCUCACUGGUAAGAGAAAUAUAG
ensembl:lncRNA